rnacentral:lncRNA from 1 species
GAACAACUCUCAAAGUAUCAAAAUGCUCACAAAAAUACGCUCGAUAAUCUAGAGAGAAAGAAAACUUGUUUCUGGUGUGAUUUUCAAUUCUAACCUAAGCACCUAUUUAUAGGAAAAUGCUAGAACGCCAAAGGAGACUAAAAUAAUAAAAUAUUAUUUUCUUUUAUUUCUUCCACGCAUGCCUACUUUGUUGAACAAGCCAACCACCUUUGAACCAAAAAAAUAGCAGCCCACAUGUGUUAAAACACAAGUGGGUCCCACCCAUAAAAAUCAAUUUUAUUUUUCGAAACUUCAAUAAUUCAUAGAAAAUAGCCCGUUUAUCAGAAAAAUACGAAUUUUAUGUCCAUUCCACACGAAAUCGAAUUCUCUACAACUUUGUAUCUUUGAGUUUUUCCAAAUUCCAAAUAGAAAAUAUCCGAAAUCCACAAACGGAUGAUUUUUAAUAUUUCUACUCCGACAAAACACCUCAGCAUUAAUUCCUUUAUUAAUAACCACAUAAAAUAAAUAAAUCCAUCAUUUAUAUCC